UAGGGAAUCUUCGGCAAUGGGGGCAACCCUGACCGAGCAACGCCGCGUGAGUGAAGAAGGUUUUCGGAUCGUAAAGCUCUGUUGUAAGAGAAGAACGUGUGUGAGAGUGGAAAGUUCACACAGUGACGGUAACUUACCAGAAAGGGACGGCUAACUACGUGCCAGCAGCCGCGGUAAUACGUAGGUCCCGAGCGUUGUCCGGAUUUAUUGGGCGUAAAGCGAGCGCAGGCGGUUUAAUAAGUCUGAAGUUAAAGGCAGUGGCUUAACCAUUGUUCGCUUUGGAAACUGGUAAACUUGAGUGCAGAAGGGGAGAGUGGAAUUCCAUGUGUAGCGGUGAAAUGCGUAGAUAUAUGGAGGAACACCGGUGGCGAAAGCGGCUCUCUGGUCUGUAACUGACGCUGAGGCUCGAAAGCGUGGGGAGCAAACAGG
rnacentral:rRNA from 1 species